rnacentral:rRNA from 1 species
UGUUUGGAGAGUUUGAUUCUGGCUCAGGACGAACGCUGGCGGCGUGCUUAACACAUGCAAGUCGAACGGAAAGGCCCUUCGGGGUACUCGAGUGGCGAACGGGUGAGUAACACGUGGGUGAUCUGCCCUGCACUUUGGGAUAAGCCUGGGAAACUGGGUCUAAUACCGAAUAUGACCGCACACUUCCUGGUGUGUGGUGGAAAGCUUUUGCGGUGUGGGAUGGGCCCGCGGCCUAUCAGCUUGUUGGUGGGGUAAUGGCCUACCAAGGCGACGACGGGUAGCCGGCCUGAGAGGGUGACCGGCCACACUGGGACUGAGAUACGGCCCAGACUCCUACGGGAGGCAGCAGUGGGGAAUAUUGCACAAUGGGCGCAAGCCUGAUGCAGCGACGCCGCGUGAGGGAUGACGGCCUUCGGGUUGUAAACCUCUUUCAGCACAGACGAAGCGCAAGUGACGGUAUGUGCAGAAGAAGGACCGGCCAACUACGUGCCAGCAGCCGCGGUAAUACGUAGGGUCCGAGCGUUGUCCGGAAUUACUGGGCGUAAAGAGCUCGUAGGUGGUUUGUCGCGUCGUCCGUGAAAACUCACAGCUUAACUGUGGGCGUGCGGGCGAUACGGGCAGACUAGAGUACUGCAGGGGAGACUGGAAUUCCUGGUGUAGCGGUGGAAUGCGCAGAUAUCAGGAGGAACACCGGUGGCGAAGGCGGGUCUCUGGGCAGUAACUGACGCUGAGGAGCGAAAGCGUGGGGAGCGAACAGGAUUAGAUACCCUGGUAGUCCACGCCGUAAACGGUGGGUACUAGGUGUGGGUUUCCUUCCUUGGGAUCCGUGCCGUAGCUAACGCAUUAAGUACCCCGCCUGGGGAGUACGGCCGCAAGGCUAAAACUCAAAGAAAUUGACGGGGGCCCGCACAAGCGGCGGAGCAUGUGGAUUAAUUCGAUGCAACGCGAAGAACCUUACCUGGGUUUGACAUGCACAGGACGCCAGUAGAGAUAUUGGUUCCCUUGUGGCCUGUGUGCAGGUGGUGCAUGGCUGUCGUCAGCUCGUGUCGUGAGAUGUUGGGUUAAGUCCCGCAACGAGCGCAACCCUUGUCUCAUGUUGCCAGCACGUAAUGGUGGGGACUCGUGAGAGACUGCCGGGGUCAACUCGGAGGAAGGUGGGGAUGACGUCAAGUCAUCAUGCCCCUUAUGUCCAGGGCUUCACACAUGCUACAAUGGCCGGUACAAAGGGCUGCGAUGCCGUGAGGUGGAGCGAAUCCUUUCAAAGCCGGUCUCAGUUCGGAUCGGGGUCUGCAACUCGACCCCGUGAAGUCGGAGUCGCUAGUAAUCGCAGAUCAGCAACGCUGCGGUGAAUACGUUCCCGGGCCUUGUACACACCGCCCGUCACGUCAUGAAAGUCGGUAACACCCGAAGCCGGUGGCCUAACCCUUGUGGAGGGAGCCGUCGAAGGUGGGAUCGGCGAUUGGGACGAAGUCGUAACAAGGUAGCCGUACCGGAAGGUGCGGCUGGAUCACCUCCUUU